AUGGGCGCAAGCCUGAUGCAGCCAUGCCGCGUGUGUGAAGAAGGCCUUCGGGUUGUAAAGCACUUUCAGUCGUGAGGAAGGUAGUGUAGUUAAUAGCUGCAUUAUUUGACGUUAGCGACAGAAGAAGCACCGGCUAACUCCGUGCCAGCAGCCGCGGUAAUACGGAGGGUGCGAGCGUUAAUCGGAAUUACUGGGCGUAAAGCGCAUGCAGGUGGUUUGUUAAGUCAGAUGUGAAAGCCCGGGGCUCAACCUCGGAAUUGCAUUUGAAACUGGCAGACUAGAGUACUGUAGAGGGGGGUAGAAUUUCAGGUGUAGCGGUGAAAUGCGUAGAGAUCUGAAGGAAUACCGGUGGCGAAGGCGGCCCCCUGGACAGAUACUGACACUCAGAUGCGAAAGCGUGGGGAGCAAACAGGAUUAGAUACCCUGGUAGUCCACGCCGUAAACGAUGUCUACUUGGAGGUUGUGGCCUUGAGCCGUGGCUUUCGGAGCUAACGCGUUAAGUAGACCGCCUGGG
rnacentral:rRNA from 4 species